rnacentral:pre_miRNA from 1 species
CAACUACUCCCUCUGUCCCAAAUUUUUUGUCUUAGAUUUGUCCAGAUACGGAUGUAUCUAAUACUAAAAUGUGACUUGAUACAUCCAUAUCUAGACAAAUCUAAGACAAGAAUUUUGGGACGGAGGGAGUACUUU